UUUUUGUUUUCUUUCUAGACACACCCAUCUCCCUUCGGUAAAAUAGGGAUAGUUCGUUAUGGCUGUAACUAAACGAGAUCAAAAGGAAGUGCGCCGUAAACAAUGGGAUUGCAUGCAGACUUGGGAAGGAGGGAGUAUACAGAAUACAAGGAUCUCGAUCGUUACCGGAGGAUUCUCUCGAUGGCGACCGACUCCAUUGCCGUUCGCUUUCAUCUUUUGCUUCGCCGGCUUCUCCGACGUGCCCUUCUCUUUCGUCGGCUUCUCUGACGUGCCCUUCUCUUUCAUCUCAGGAUUCGCCGACGCAGGCUUCGAAGAUGACGGCUCCCUCGGCUUCACCGACCUGGGAGCUACUUUGGGCGGCGUGGGGUGGUAAUUCGGUGUAGUCAUGGAAGGCUAGGUAUGGGAGGCGUGGGGUGGAAGUAUACGAUCUAUGCCGUGAAAAGCUUCGUAUUUAUAGGGGAUUCUCUAACAACCGAUCACAAGGAAAUAAUGGGAAUUUGGGAUCUCACGAAGAGGUAGUUUUAGAUCACGUAAUGUUUAUUUAUAGGGGAUUCUCUAACAACCGACCACAAGGAAAUAUUGGGAAUUUGGGAUCUCACGAAGAGGUAGUUUUAGAUCACGUAAUGGUUUUUAGCUAGUUUUUUUAUUUUGAGAAAUUUUUAGCAAGUUUAGAUCAGUAAUCUCAACCGUGAAGCGUUUGGGCUUCUUGUGCUUUCUUAUACAGGCCUAUUAUAAUGGGAUGAGCCCAUUUUAAUUGUGAACAUGAGAAAGGAAGCGAGGACUCCAACAGCCGCGACGAGCCCCGUCCCAAUUAUUUAGGACGGGCAUGCACGAGGGAGCUUCGUCCUCACUGCCACGGCUCUCCAAAAACGGUUCCUCUGCCUCUGCGUCCUCUUGAUUCCCUCUUCCUCUGCGUCGUCCACUCUCCCAACAAUCUGGCUUCUGGAACGGUGAGUUCUCCUUCCUGUCAAUUAUGUUAGUAGUUCUCCAGUAGCAGCACAUACGAUGGCCUUCUUCUUGUCAAUUUGUUGUUCUCCUGCUUCUUUAUUUUGUGUGCACAGAUUCAUCUGCCUGCAACAUGUAGUCCGUUGCCUUAUGAGAAUUUUGCACACAGAUUCAUCUGCAUGCAACAUCUAGUCCGUUGUCUUGUCAAUUUCUUGUUUUCCUCCUGCUUCUUUAGUUUGUACACACAGUUUCAUCUGCAUGUCCGAUGAACAAUUCAUAGAUACAUGUUUAUUCUUGAUUUUGAUGCAGUUGUUUAGAUAAAUAUUUCAAGAGCGUAAAUUUUGAUUGUUAAUUCGCAUAUACUCCCUCUGCAAGGAAAUAUAACAACUUUUGGUUCAUUACUUUAGUGAUUUCUUUAUAGAGGGAGUACUUGUUUAGUUUCAAUUGUCCAUGCACUUGUUUACAUAAACUUUCAAUAGCGCCAGAAUUACUAUACUAUCUGCCGUCAUAUUCAUCUCGGCUUAUUGUUAUCAUGUUAUUGUCAUGCUUCAUGUCUUAUACUGGUUUCAUCAAUUACAGUCCUUCUGCAUGGCGUUCGAGAAAGAUUAUGCUGCUAGGGCAGAUGGAAAUACCGAUUUUUUUGUGAAGUACACGAACAAGGCUAGCUGUGUUGAGUACUGCAUUGGCAGAUUCAAAUACUGGCUGCGGAACGACGACCAGAAGAUAGUUGCACUGGAUGUGGAGUACACCUGGCCUCGUGCUCCGACACAGAUGGCUGCCGUGGUCCAGUUAUGCAUUGGCAUCUACGUCCUCGUGUACCAGAUAAGCAUUGCUGAUGAGCACUGUGGCCUGCUUGCCACCUUCCUGCUCGACGAGGAGUACACCUUUGUUGGGGUGGACAUCAACAAUGAUGAGAAAAAACACAAGCGUGUUGCUCUGGUGGUACAAAACUUUGUGGAUAUCCAAAAUAUGUGGAGAGUGCCUGAUCCAGUGACGAUUAAGCCAAAGUAUGGCUUGGCUGACUAAGCCGGUUCCAUCAUCCACCACAGCUACAACAAGAUGAAGGAUGCUAUCACAGAAGAUUACCACCAUAUCUGGGCAGAAGCGCCCUUGCCCUUGAAGAACAUCUAUUAUGCUUCCAUGGACGCGUAUGCCACCUACGAUGUAUACAGGCGCUUGGUGAACUUCCAGAAGGGGUUCGAGAGUCAGCACCAGCAUCUCGCCAAACCAUCUAGGCGGUCAAAGAAGUCCGGAAGCAAUAAUGAAUCAACCUAAAAUGUUUCUUCAAUUUAUCUAGCUCAUAGUAUGUAAACUUUAUUAUACUACUAGUAAGUCGUAAGUUCAAAUUUCCUGCAAGUUGAAUCAUCCUUUAUUCUAGCUGUCUUGCCUAAUUUGAUCCACGUUCACGAGAUAUUAUACUUAAGAUGUUUAUUUUGUUUUGGUUUCGCUAGCUAUGAUACAGAAUGUGAUAGCCAUUUUUACCAAAAGAUUAUUUCAGAUUUAUAAUGAAUAUUGUUCUCAACUGGGUUUGAAUAGAGAAAUUUUAUCUUUUAAUUGCAUAGAGAAAGUUCAUUUUUUUAAUCAAAAGAAGGGUCACCCCCUCUGAUUUUCCAUUAACAGAAACCACAUGGUCUUUCAAGCCCCUGAUACAAACUACAGCUAGAAACUAAAGUAAUCAACUAGCAGCACAAAUCAUACAUGGUAGCAAGCCCAGCCAGACUUAACACGAAGGUCCAAAAAAUAAAACUACGACAGAGGACAAAAAAUAUAGCUGAGAGAUGCGCAGGCGACACCGCAGUACCCUGUGACUCCACACUUGCGAUGAACUGUACAAUUCACCUGCUACAUGCUCUAGCCUGCGCAUAUAGACCAUCAACACCUCUUUGCUCCCAACAUCAGCACCUCUUUGUUUACCACCUUCAUCUGCAAUAUAGACCAUCCCAUGAUCCACAAGCAAAUUAGCUAAACAAGAAUCAUAAGAUCACUAUACCAUUUAUUUUGUAAUCUCACAUUAUUCCUAUUCCUGCAUUACCAAAGAGUCAAGAACACAACUGAUGCCCUUCCCGCAUCUCCUACGCAAACACUCAUAGGUAGUUCUACCAUCUUAACUCCAUGAUUUAAAAUAUUAAUAAAACCCCCUUAACGAUUCCAUUUGCAUUACCAUCGUUCAUGAUUAUAGCCAGGGAAACAGCAGCCAAUAAAGCAACCACCCGUGUAAGCCCUAUUUUGAGUCCUGAAUAGGGCCGAAUCCUAGAAUUUACUCUAACUGCAACAUGUCCUCCUCUCAUAGUCAUCAUCACCCAAGACAUAAUGAAGACGUAACCCCAUAGAUGCAUAACUGCUAUCAACAUAGUUUUCGCAGUAUACCUAGUGUAAAGGACACUCUUGCGUUGUCGUGCUACAUUUGUGGCUCCUCGAUCAGCAUGUUCAUAACCACCUCGAUCUGAAGAUCUUCACAGGUGGUGGUCUUGAAACCGAAAAGAAUGGCUUUAUGAACCUUGAGCUCUUCACUGUCAACAAAAUCACUCCAUCCCUUGCCGAAGAUGAUGCGACCAUCAUCACACUUGUGGUACUUCACCGGCAUGAAACUGUCCUUGCACAGCCGAAUGCCAGCAAGCCCAUCUCUCGGUAUCUUCCCAUCUCCUGGGGUCUUCAGGGCGUCGACAACUUUCACCGGUAAUCUCUGUAUGCACCGUCAUAGGAAGAAAAAUUAUCAAAUAUGUGAAGGAGCAGUAAACAAAAGGAUCUUCAGCUACAUCUACAUAUAUUACAUAAGGAUCUACAGUUAUGGGAAACAAAAGGCUAUGCAAAAACACACAUCAGUGUAUUCACUGGUUUUAGCUACAAUAGCAUAUCAUUAAUCUUUCUCUCCAUGAAAAAACAAAGAAAAUUGCAUACAAAAUAGAAAAUACUAGUCCACCAAAAACAUACCAUCGUCUUUCCUGCUAAGUUCGACUUGGUGAAGCGGUGGACAAAAAAUGCACCUAUAUAACCUUUCUUCAUCGCCAAAAGGUCAUGUAGGUUACGCUCCUCUUGCCUCGUCAGAUUAAUUCCCUUCAUUAUGACAGCUAAUUCUAGAUGAUCUUCAUGCUCUUCAUUUUGAUCGCAUGUCCUUGGCAGGUUGCAGCAGUACACUGAUACGUCUCCAACGUAUCUAUAAUUUUUGAUUGUUCCAUGCUAUUAUAUUAUCUAUUUUGGAUGUUUAUGGGCUUUAUUAAACACUUUUAUAUUAUUUUUGGGACUAACCUAUUAACCCAGAGCCCAGUGCCAAUUCCUGUUUUUCCCUUGUUUCAGUGUUUCGAAGAAAAGGAAUAUCAAACGGAGUUCAAACGGAAUGAAACCUUCGGGAAAGUUAUUUUUGGAACGGAAGCAAUCCAGGGGACUUGGAGUGCACGUCAGGGACUCAACGAGGAGGGCACGAGGCAGGGGGGCAUGCCCACCCCCCUGGGCGCGCCCUCCACUCUCGUGGGCCCCUCAUGGCUCCCUUGGCGUAUUUCUUCCUCCUAUAUAUAUCAAUAUACCCUAAAACCAUCAAAAAAACACUUUUAUAUUACCUGUUUUGGAUGUUUAUGGGCUUUAUUAAACACUUUUAUAUUAUUUUUGGGACUAACCUAUUAACCCAGAGCCUAGUGCCAGUUCCUGUUUUUUCCCUUGUUUCAGUGUUUCGAAGAAAAGGAAUAUCAAACGGAGUCCAAACGGAAUGAAACCUUCGGGAAAGUUAUUUUUGGAACGGAAGCAAUCCAGGGGACUUGGAGUGCACGUCAGGGACUCAAUGAGGAGGGCACGAGGCAGGGGGGCGCGCCCACCCCCCUGGGCGCGCCCUCCACCCUCGUGGGCCCCUCGUGGCUCCCCUGACGUAUUUCUUCCUCCUAUAUAUAUAAAUAUACCCUAAAACCAUCAAAAAAACACAAUAGAUCGGGAGUUCCGCCGCCGCAAACCUCCAGAGCCACGAAAAACCAAUCGGGACCCUGUUCCGGCACCCUGCCGGAGUGGGGAUCCCUCACCGGUGGCCAUCUUCAUCAUCCCGGCGCUCUCCAUGACGAGGAGGGAGUAGUUCACCCUCGGGGCUGAGGGUAUGUACCAGUAGCUAUGUGUUUGAUCUCUCUCUCUCUCUCUCUCGUGUUCUUGAGGUGAUACGAUCUUGAUGUAUCGCGAGCUUUGCUAUUGUAGUUGGAUCUUAUGAUGUUUCUCCCCCUCUACUCUCUUGUAAUGGAUUGAGUUUUCCCCUUGAAGUUAUCUUAUCGGAUUGAGUCUUUAAUGAUUUGAGAACACUUGAUGUAUGUCUUGCGUGGGAUAACCGUGGUGACAAUGGGUUGUUCUAUUGAUCCACUUGAUGUAUGUUUUGGUGAUCAACUUGCGGGUUCCGCCCAUGAACCUAUGCAUAGGGGUUGGCACACGUUUUCGUCUUGACUCUCCAAUAGAAACUUUGGGGCACUCUUUGAGGUUCUAUGUGUUGGUUGAAUAGAUGAAUCUGAGAUUGUGUGAUGCAUAUCGUAUAAUCAUACCCACGGAUACUUGAGGUGACAUUGGAGUAUCUAGGUGACAUUAGGGUUUUGGUUGAUGUGUGUCUUAAGGUGUUUAUUUACUACGAACUCUAGGGCUGUUUGUGACACUUAUAGGAAUAGCCCAAUGGAUUGAUCGGAAAGAAUAACUUUGAGGUGGUUUCGUACCCUACAAUAAUCUCUUCGUUUGUUCUCCGCUAUUAGUGACUUUGGAGUGACUCUUUCUUGCACGUUGAGGGAUAGUUAUAUGAUCCGGUUAUGUUAUUAUUGUUGAGAGAACUUGCACUAGUGAAAGUAUGAACCCUAGGCCUGGUUUCCUAGCAUUGCAAUACCGUUUACGCUCACUUUUAUCAUUAGUUACCUUGCUGUUUUUAUAUUUUCAGAUUACAAAAACCUAUAUCUACCAUCCAUAUUGCACUUGUAUCACCAUCUCUUCGCCGAACUAGUGCACCUAUACAAUUUACCAUUGUAUUGGGUGUGUUGGAGACACAAGAGACUCUUUGUUAUUUGGUUGCAGGGUUGCUUGAGAGAGACCAUCUUCAUCCUACGCCUCCCACGGAUUGAUAAACCUUAGGUCAUCCACUUGAGGGAAAUUUGCUACUGUCCUACAAACCUCUGCACUUGGAGGCCCAACAACGUGUACAAGAAGAAGGUUGUGUAGUAGACAUCAAGCUCUUUUCUGGCGCCGUUGCCGGGGAGGCUAGGUAAGCGGCACUCACACCCCGUCAACUAAGCUCUUUUCUAGCGCCGUUGCCGGGGAGGUGAGUGCUUGAAGGUAUAUCUUUAGAUCUUGCAAUCGGAUCUUUUUGUUUCUUGUUUUAGCACUAGUUUACUUUAUAAAAGAAAAUUUCAAAAAAAUGGAAUUGAGUUUGUCUCAUACGCUUUGUCUUUUUUAUAUCUUUCGUGAGUAUGAUGGAAAGGAAAAUUGUGCCAAAGUGUUAGAAUAAGAAUGCAUUAAAAUGUUUGUCACUAAAUCUUUGAAUGAUGAGCAUGAUUGCAAUGUUGUUAGUAUGAACUCCUUGAAUAUCCAUAGUACUAAUGAUGAUUGCACUAGUCAUGGUGAAAAUAUCUCUUAUAAGCAUGUCGAUUUUUGUGGAGUGUAUUGGGUUUGCAAGUACACACCAAAUAGGGAGGAUAGAUAUUGCAAGAGGCAUAAGCAUUUAGAAACUAAAUGGUUGCAAGAAAGGCUUGAUGCUUGUGCUGAAAAUUUAAACUUUCUUAGCCGUACUUGUGAACUUUGCAAUGAACGUGAUCAUUUCAAUAUCCAAUGCAAAUUGUUUCAUGAUCGUAUCGUGUCCAAAAAUUGUGAUGACUUGAUUUCCCUUGCGCAUCAUAAUGAACUUAGUUUGCUUUUGGGUUAUGAAGAAAUGAAACGUAUAACUAAGAUUAUUCCAGAAUUUGCCCUUGAUAGAAUUCUUCAUUUUGAUCUAAAAGAAAUUUAUAUGUAUUGUGCGGUGAAUUGCAUUGAAAAUCCUUAUAUUGCCAAUUACAUAAAGAAAAGAAAACAAAUAGAAGAUGAAGAGAAUACUAAUGAAAGGGAAGAGACUUCCCAAUAUCCUCCUAUUAUUUCUUAUGAUGAAUCAGGUAACGAGGAGGAGCCUUCUAUUCAACCAAUCUCAUUAAUAAGGAGCUCCAAAAAGAGGAUUGAACCCACACAUGAUGUGGUGAAGAAGAAGAACAGAAAAAGUAGGAGAGGUAAAAAGAUAUCUCUCCCAAAUAAUGUUGCUCCUAUUAUUGUUGUGCCUCAUGAAAAUGAAGAUGAUGCACUUGAUGAUGAUCUCGUUAUGCCUAUUGCUUGUUGUGAUGAUUAUGAUUGGGAAGAUAAUGAUACUUCUUAUGAUCUUGAAAAUCUUUUUGGCACUUGCUUGGAAGAUUAUGAUAAUUGCUAUACUAUUGGUGCUAUCCAUACUAUUAAUGAUGAGAGUGAUAUGCUUAUGAUAUGAAAAGGCCCAAGCUUGGGGAUGCUAUGUUUGAUGAAGAUGAUGUUUUUGAGAAUAUAUUUGCUGCAAUUAAUGUUUGUCCCAAGCUUGGGGAUGCUAUGUUUGAUAAAGAUGAUAUUUUUAGUCUCCCAAGUUUCGAUAUGCAAAGUUGUUAUGAUGAUAGCAUGCCUUCUGCAUAUGAUAAUUAUAUUAAUAAAAGUGGAUUUGGAGAGGUCAUGACUUGAUUUAGUGAUGAGUCCACUAUUUCGGAAGAGGUUUCAAUCGAUUAUGAUGAGAACAAAGUUCCUACUUAUGAUGAUUAUUGUGAUGAAACUUAUGCUAUAAAAAGUAGUGAUGAUUACAUUUAUAAAACUUGUCAUGAUUAUGAUUACCCUUUUUCUGAACAUUACUCUUUUAAUGUGGAAACAAUUUAUAGUAUUCAAGUUCCUUAUGAUACUCCCACUAUUCCGAAUGAGAAGAAUUUUGCUUAUGUGGAGAGUAGUAAAAUUUCUAUGCAAGUAGAUCAUGAAAAGAAUGCUUUAGGUGCUGGUUAUAUUGUUGAAUUCAUUCAUGAUGCUACUGAAAAUUAUUAUGAGAGAGGAACAUGUGCUCUUACAUAUUGCAAUAAUAUCAAGUUUCCUCUUUAUGUGCUUAAAGUUUUGAAGUUAUGCUUGUUUUGCCUUCCUAUGCUAGUUGAUUAUUGUUCCCAUAAGUUGUUUGCUCACAAAAUCCCUAUGCAUAGGAAGUGGGUUAGGCUUAAAUGUGCUAGUCAUAUGCUUCAUGAUGCUCCCAUUAUGUUUCAAUUCUUAUCUUUUAUGUGAGCAUCAUUCAAAUCAUCAUGCCUAGCUAAAAAGGCAAUAAAGAAAAGCGCUUGUUGGGAGACAACUCAAUAUUUACCUUUACUGUUUUUGUGUGUUCACAUGAUUAUGCUACUGUAUUAAUCAUGUUUUAUAGCUUUUGUUUCAAUAAAGUGCCAAGUAAUGCCUUUAGGAUAGCCUACGGUGAUAGUUAAUUUGAUCUUGCUGAAAGACAGAAACUUUUGCGCGCACGAGAUUAGUUUUCAUAAAUACAGAAACGUGCUUUGCAGUUGAUUCCUUUUGCAUAAGAUUAAUAAACAAAUUUCUUAGGACUUCCUAAUUUGGUUGAAUUUUUGGAGUUCCAGAAGUAUACGUUCGAUAUAGAUUACUACAGACUGUUCUGUUUUUGACAGAUUCUGUUUUCUAUGUGUUGUUUGCUUAUUUUGAUGAAUCUAUGAGUAGUAUCGGAGGGUAUGAACCAUAGAGAAGUUGGGAUACAGUAGAUAUUACACCAAUAUGAAUUUAAAAUGAGUUCACUACAGUACCUAAGUGGUGGUUUUAUUUUCUUAUACUAACGGAGCUUACAAGUUUUCUACUGAGUUUUGUGUUGUGAAGUUUUCAAGUUUUGGGUAAAGAUUCGAUGGACUAUGGAAUAAGGAGUGGCAAGAGCCUAAGCUUGGGGAUGCCCAAGGCACCCCAAGGUAAUAUUCAAGGACAACCAAGAGCCUAAGCUUGGGGAUGCCUCAGAUGGCAUCCCCUCUUUCGUCGUCGUUCAUCGGUAACUUUACUUGGAGCUAUAUUUUUAUUCACCACAUGAUAUGUGUUUUGCUUGGAGCGUCAUUUUAUUUUCUUUUGUUUUGCUUGCUGUUUGAAUAAAAUACCAAGAUCUGAAAUUCUUAAAUGUUAGAGAGUCUUCACAUAGUUGCAUAAUUAUUCGACUACCCUUUGAUCUUCACUUAUAUCUUUCGGAGUAGUGUGUUAUUGCUCUAGUGCUUCACUUAUAUCUUUUAGAUCACGAUGCUGGAUUUAUUUUGUAGAAAUUAUUGAACUCUCAUGCUUCACUUAUAUUAUUUUGAGAGUCCUACAAAACAGCAUGGUAGUUUGCUUUAAUCAUGAAAUUAAUCCUAAUAUGCAAGGUAUUCAACUUUAGUGAAAAAAUUCUCUUAUGAGUGCGUUGAAUACUAAGAAAAGUUUGAUGCCUGAUGAUUGUUUUGAGAUAUGGAGGUAUUAAUAUUAAAGUCAUGCUAGUUGAGUAGUUGUGAAAUUGAGAAAUACUUGUGUUAAAGUUUGCAAAUCCCGUAGCAUGCACGUAUGGUAAACGUUGUGUAACAAAUUUGAAACAUGAGAUGUUCUUUGAGUGUCUUCCCUUGUGUGGAGGUCGGGGGCACGCGAUGGUUAACUCCUACCAACCUCCCCCCUAGGAGCAUGCGCGUAGUGCUUGGUUUUGAUGACUUGUAGAUUUUUGCAAUAAGUAUGUGAGUUCUUUAUGACUAAUGUUGAGUCCAUGGAUUAUACGCACUCUCACCCUUCCACCAUUGCUAGCCUCUCUAAUACCGCGCACCUUUCGCCGGUAUCAUACACUCACCAUAUACCUUCCUCAAAACAGCCAUCAUACCUACCUAUUAUGGCAUUUCCAUAGCCAUUCCGAGAUAUAUUGCCAUGCAACUUUCCACCGUUUCGUUUAUUAUGACACGCUCCAUCAUUGUCAUAUUGCCUUGCAUGAUCAUGUAGUUGACAUAGUAUUUGUGGCAAAGCCACCUUUCAUAAUUCUUUCAUACAUGUCGCUCAUGAUUCAUUGCCCAUCCGGUACACCACCGGAGGCAUGCAUAUAGAUUCAUACUUUGUUCUAGUAUUGAGUUGUAAAUAAAUAGAAGUGUGAUGAUCAUCAUUUUCUAGAGCAUUGUCCCAAGUGAGGAAAUAAAUAAAUAAAGAGAGAAAGGCCAUAAAAAAGGAAGAAGGCCCAAAAAAUGAGAGAAAAAGAGAGUAGGGACAAUGCUACUAUCUCUUUUUCCACGCUUGCGCUUCAAAGUAGCACCAUGUUCUUCAUGAUAGAGAGUCUCUUGUUUUGUCACUUUCAUAUACUAGUGGGAAUUUUUCAUUAUAGAACUUGGCUUGUAUAUUCCUACAAUGGGCUUCCUCAAAUGCCCUAGGUCUUCAUGAGCAAGCAAGUUGGAUGCACACCCACUUAGUUUCUUUUUGAGCUUUCAUACACUUAUAGCUCUAGUGCAUCCGUUGCAUGGCAAUCCCUACUCACUCACAUUGAUAUCUAUUGAUGGGCAUCUCCAUAGCCCGUUGAUACGCCUAGUUGAUGUGAGACUAUCUUCUCCCUUUUUGUCUUCUCCACAACCACCAUAUUCUAUUCCACAUAUAGUGCUAUGUCCAUGGCUCACACUCAUGUAUUGCGUGAAAGUUGAAAGAGUUUGAAAAUUAUAAAGUAUGAAACAAUUGCUUGACUGAAACCGGGGUUGUGCAUGAUUUGAGUAUUUUGUGUGACGAAGAUGGAGCAUAACCAAACUAUAUGACUUUGUAGGGAUGAACUUUCUUUUGCCAUGAUAUUUUGAGAAGACAUAAUUGCUUAGUUAGUAUGCUUGCAGUAUUAUUACUUUUAUGUCAAUAUUAAACUUUUAUCUUGAAUCUUUCGGAUCUGAAUAUUCAUACCUCAAUUAAGAGGGUUACAUUAAAAACCAUGUUAGGUAGCAUUCCACAUCAAAAAUUCUGUUUUUAUCAUUUACCUACUCGAGGACGAGCAGGAAUUAAGCUUGGGGAUGCUGAUACGUCUCCAACGUAUCUAUAAUUUUUUAUUGUUCCAUGUUAUUAUAUUACCUGUUUUGGAUGUUUAUGGGCUUUAUUAAACACUUUUAUAUUAUUUUUGGGACUAACCUAUUAACCCAGAGCCUAGUGCCAGUUCCUGUUUUUUCCCUUGUUUCAGUGUUUCGAAGAAAAGGAAUAUCAAACGGAGUCCAAACGGAAUGAAACCUUCGGGAAAGUUAUUUUUGGAACGGAAGCAAUCCAGGGGACUUGGAGUGCACGUCAGGGACUCAAUGAGGAGGGCACGAGGCAGGGGGGCGCGCCCACCCCCCUGGGCGCGCCCUCCACCCUCGUGGGCCCCUCGUGGCUCCCCUGACGUAUUUCUUCCUCAUAUAUAUAUAUAAAUAUACCCUAAAACCAUCAAAAAAAACACAAUAGAUCGGGAGUUCCGCCGCCGCAAACCUCCAGAGCCACGAAAAACCAAUCGGGACCCUGUUCCGGCACCCUGCCGGAGUGGGGAUCCCUCACCGGUGGCCAUCUUCAUCAUCCCGGCGCUCUCCAUGACGAGGAGGGAGUAGUUCACCCUCGGGGCUGAGGGUAUGUACUAGUAGCUAUGUGUUUGAUCUCUCUCUCUCUCGUGUUCUUGAGGUGAUACGAUCUUGAUGUAUCGCGAGCUUUCCUAUUGUAGUUGGAUCUUAUGAUGUUUCUCCCCCUCUACUCUCUUGUAAUGGAUUGAGUUUUCCCCUUGAAGUUAUCUUAUCGGAUUGAGUCUUUAAUGAUUUGAGAACACUUGAUGUAUGUCUUGCGUGGGAUAACCGUGGUGACAAUGGGUUAUUCUAUUGAUUCACUUGAUGUAUGUUUUGGUGAUCAACUUGCGGGUUCCGCCCAUGAACCUAUGCAUAGGGGUUGGCACACGUUUUCGUCUUGACUCUCCGGUAGAAACUUUGGGGCACUCUUUGAGGUUCUAUGUGUUGGUUGAAUAGAUGAAUCUGAGAUUGUGUGAUCCAUAUCGUAUAAUCAUACCCACGGAUACUUGAGGUGACAUUGGAGUAUCUAGGUGACAUUAGGGUUUUGGUUGAUGUGUGUCUUAAGGUGUUUAUUUACUACGAACUCUAGGGCUGUUUGUGACACUUAUAGGAAUAGCCCAAUGGAUUGAUCGGAAAGAAUAACUUUGAGGUGGUUUCGUACCCUACAAUAAUCUCUUCGUUUGUUCUCCGCUAUUAGUGACUUUGGAGUGACUCUUUGUUGCACGUUGAGGGAUAGUUAUAUGAUCCGGUUAUGUUAUUAUUCUUGAGAGAACUUGCACUAGUGAAAAUAUGAACCCUAGGCCUUGUUUCCUAGCAUUGCAAUACCGUUUACGCUCACUUUUAUCAUUAGUUACCUUGCUGUUUUUAUAUUUUCAGAUUACAAAAACCUAUAUCUACCAUCCAUAUUGCACUUGUAUCACCAUCUCUUCGCCGAACUAGUGCACCUAUACAAUUUACCAUUGUAUUGGGUGUGUUGGGGACACAAGAGACUCUUUGUUAUUUGGUUGCAGGGUUGCUUGAGAGAGACCAUCUUCAUCCUACGCCUCCCACGGAUUGAUAAACCUUAGGUCAUCCACUUGAGGGAAAUUUGUUACUGUCCUACAAACCUCUGCACUUGGAGGCCCAACAAUGUCUACAAGAAGAAGGUUGUAUAGUAGACAUCAUACACCAUAGGAAUGUCUUCAGUCAAAUCGAAGGAGACAAGGUCGCCUUCUCGCAGGUCAAAGUCUUCAACAAACCUGCACCAGUUUUCACCACAGAUGAUCACCCUUGAAUUCCCUUUGUACAUGCCAAAAUCAUACGUGCGGCUCCCUCUCUCUUGAAAAAUCAAUGAACUGUCUGGAUGGCGCUGAACUGGUGCCAUGCUUAGCAUGGCACGAUCUGUACAUGUAGAAUUUAAUUGCUAUUUAUUUCCUACAUUUUGUUAAUCUUCAAAGUAGAGGGGAACAAACACAAUACAAGUAAAAAUUGACAUGAUUAUUUAUACCACAGCUGAAGUGUCCCCAUCUAGCCUGAUGGUAAAUGUCAACCCAUCAGCAUCGGGCAUGUUGCAGUCCUGUCGACAGGUUAUGCACACCACCUGUGUAAACAAAAUAAAAUGAAGAAAAACAAAGGAUGAGAAUUUAAGAAAAGGGCUUAUGAUGUAAACACACUAGGCAACAAUCAUACAGUAUAAUCAAAGAAGGUACUGCAUCAGUAAUCAACAAUCAUACACUUGAACUGAGCGGGUGGCUCGCCCUCCACUCCUCAUAACCCCGCAACGCAGCGCGUAGCCGCCGCACCACAGCUUGUUCAGACAUGUCCUUCUCUUGAUCGUCGACCGGCAGCAUGGGCUCACCCCGAGCGUCGACGCGCGGCAUUGGCCCCUCCUCCUCUGCAGCACAACUGAGGUAGUGUCUGAGACUGAGCAGUAAUCUUUGAGAAAAGUCCUAUCAAAACAUAAAUCCUACUACUGCUGUUACUCGGCCAACCCGAAUGUACACACGCACGCCUUCAACAUACAGCCCAUCUACAUACAUCCGCAUCCAACAAUAUGUUCCUUGAAAAAGAAAAGAAAAUCUGUUCUGGACGGACGAAGGAUCGUCAGGGUAACCAACUCAAUUAGCCACUAGUCUGUCAUAUUAGAGAAAAUGAACUUACUUCACUUUUUCCUGGUACUACACAACCACACAAAAUAAAGAUUAAAAUAAUUCCUAAAAACUCUGAUAUAUUGUACGCCCUCAUAUUUAUAAUCUUUAAAAUAUGAACUAAUUUGGGCAACAGAAUUAAGAGGUUAUUGUUAUUUACCUACAAAGAUACAAAUAUUUGGAUCAAAAUUUCAUAUUCUGCAAAAAAACACUGCACUAAAUAUUAUUCUGAGAAAUGUUUAGUUGACUUGCAAUCUAGGACUACAAGUUAAUGGCUGCCUUACUAAACCCAACCUAAUUUCGGCCUAAAAAGGAAUUUAAUCCACUAGCCCAGCUUAUAAGUUUUGAGCCCACCCUCUAGUUUCUUCCUGGAUUCGCCACUGCACAAGGCCAAUAUUAUUUUAAGUUUUUAAAGGACUGUUUGCUGACAUUUUCUGCUAUUGUGUUACGCAUUUGCACUUGUUCAUUGUUAUGAAAACCCUGGAAUACCGAAACCCUAGAAAAAAUACCCAGCAAGCCACCGAUGUAGAAAACUUCCUUCAAUCUCUGCAUCGCCUUCCAUCUAACCUCCGAUUUAAAAAUCCUAACUAUCUAACCUCUGACUUUGAAAACCAUAUCCAACUCCCGAAACGGCAACACAACAAGGAACAAAGAAGUCGAAGAUUACAAGUUAGGGUUUCUCACUUCACCUAGUCGCCGGUAGUCGCUAGGUGCUUGCUGGCGGCCUCCCAAUCUCACUCCGCGCUCUUCUGCUCCAACCGUCGAGAGCGGUCAGGCGAGUAGGCGGCGGGGUCGCGGCAGGGUGGUUUGUGGGGAGGGUGGGGGUGAGGGGGCGGGGGUGUGUGGGCGAUGGGGGUGAUGACACGGACCCUAUCCGUGUCAAGCACAGAAAAUAACGGCCCGUGGGUCCAGUUCGUAAAGAAACAACCAAACAGGCCCACUGGCCGCUUACCAGUCACAAAGUAAAACCCUAUGUUACUAAUAAAAAAACACAAAGCAAAAUCCUUUUGUCUAAAAAACAAAAACAAAGGAAAAUCGUAAAAAAGAGGGAAAUCCUUUUUGGGUGAGUUCAACGUGAACGUGAUGGUGAGAGGCUCAAUGAGGAGCUUUGUGCGUUUACAACACCUUUGUUUUAGGAAAAAAAAUAAGCACCUUAUAAUUUGAAAUUUUAAAAUCCUUAUUAAAACAUGGUAAAAAUCCUUGUUUAAAAAAACUUGUUUGUCUUGCCAGAGAAAUGCGUGGCCUUUCUCGCCGCCCCCCUCCCUCCCAUAUUCGGGACAUUUACCACAUUUCUAGGGUUGUAACCUCGAAAGUUCAAGAUCUACGGCGGCCACAUGAAAUCAUAGCAAGGAUUGGGAUGAAAGCCCCAUGUUAAGAUCUUUGGUCCAUAUAUGCACCAUAUGGUACCAAAGGGAGGGGUGGUGUAACGCCCGGAUAAUCAAGCUACAGUAAUCCCACGCUAAUGGUGCCACGUCAUCACGGUUACUUUGCUAAUCUACCGUUAGGUCAAACCGUUUAAAAAUUCAAAUUCAAAUUAAUGUCAACGAUAAAAGUUUUUCAAAAUUUAAAACAAAAAUGUUCGGAAGGUGCCAUAUUUUGCAUAAGUAAAUAUGGUGUAGUAAACAUAUUUUUAUAAAAUGCCUAAAUAAUUUAAAUUGAAAUAAAACAGAAAAGCAAAUAAAUAAAAGAAAGAGAAUACAAAAGAGAAAACAAACAAAAAAAAGAAAGAAGAAAACCCCCUCUGGACCGUGGCCCAACUGGGCCAACCCCCCCAGGCCCAGCCGNNNNNNNNNNNNNNNNNNNNNNNNNNNNNNNNNNNNNNNNNNNNNNNNNNNNNNNNNNNNNNNNNNNNNNNNNNNNNNNNNNNNNNNNNNNNNNNNNNNNNNNNNNNNNNNNNNNNNNNNNNNNNNNNNNNNNNNNNNNNNNNNNNNNNNNNNNNNNNNNNNNNNNNNNNNNNNNNNNNNNNNNNNNNNNNNNNNNNNNNNNNNNNNNNNNNNNNNNNNNNNNNNNNNNNNNNNNNNNNNNNNNNNNNNNNNNNNNNNNNNNNNNNNNNNNNNNNNNNNNNNNNNNNNNNNNNNNNNNNNNNNNNNNNNNNNNNNNNNNNNNNNNNNNNNNNNNNNNNNNNNNNNNNNNNNNNNNNNNNNNNNNNNNNNNNNNNNNNNNNNNNNNNNNNNNNNNNNNNNNNNNNNNNNNNNNNNNNNNNNNNNNNNNNNNNNNNNNNNNNNNNNNNNNNNNNNNNNNNNNNNNNNNNNNNNNNNNNNNNNNNNNNNNNNNNNNNNNNNNNNNNNNNNNNNNNNNNNNNNNNNNNNNNNNNNNNNNNNNNNNNNNNNNNNNNNNNNNNNNNNNNNNNNNNNCCCUGGGCCACUGCCAGGUGGGGCCCCGCGCCCCCUGAGCCACUGCCCCUGGGCCCGAACCCCCUAUGGGCCACAGACAGGUGGGCCCCCGCGCCCAGAGAACAUUUAAAAAAUGAUUUAAAAAAAUUAAAUUAAUUAAAUUAAUAAAAAUAAAUAAAUAAAUAAUAAAGAUAAUUAAUUAAGGUAAUUAAUUAACUUAAUUAAUCCUGUUAAUAUUAACUAAUUAAGAUUAAUUAACCUAAUAAUUAUUAACCUAAUUAACUACUGUUAAUUAGCUAACAGCCCCUGACAGGUGGGACCCACCUGUCAGGUUGACCAGGUCAACGGUCAACGUUGACUGCUGACAUCAUGCUGACGUCAUGCUGAUGCAUUAAUUAAAUUUCGAAUUAAAUUAAUUUAUUAAAUUCUAAAAAUGAUUUAAAUCUUUAAAAUUUAAUAUAAAAUAAACCGUAGCUCGGAUGGAAAAACUUUAUACAUGAAAGUUGCUCAGAACGACGAGACGAAUCCGAAUACGUAGUCCGUUCGUCCGCCACACAUGCCUAACAUAUCGAACUCGCAACUUUCCCCCUCCGGUUCAUCUGUCCGAAAAUGCGAAACAUCGGGAAUACUUUCCCGGAUGUUCCCCCCUUCGUCGGUACCACCUACUGCCGCGUUAGGGCACACCUAGCACCGCUCAUUGUCAUGUCACGCAUCGUCAUGCUUAUGUUUGCAUUGUAUUUACUGUUUCUUCCCCCCUCUUCUCUCCGGUAGACUACGAGACCGACGCUGCUGCUGCCCAGUUCGACUACGGAGUUGACGACCCCUCCUACUUGCCAGAGCAACCAGGCAAGCCCCCCCCUUGAUCACCAGAUAUCGCCUAUUCUUCUCUAUACUGCUUGCAUUAGAGUAGUGUAGCAUGUUACUGCUUUCCGUUAAUCCUAUCCUGAUGCAUAGCCUGUCCUUGCUACUACUAUUAUUACCUUUACCUACAAUCCUACAUGCUUAGUAUAGGAUGCUAGUUUUCCAUCAGUGGCCCUACAUUCUUGUCCGUCUGCUGUGCUAUACUAUCGGGCCGUGAUCACUUGGGCGGUGAUCACGGGUAUAUACUUAUAUACUAUAUACAUGACACAUGUGGUGACUAAAGUCGGGUCGGCUCGUAGGAGUACCCGCAAGUGGAUCUUUGUGGCAGAGCGACAGGGCAGGUUGAGACCACCUAGGAGAAAGGUGGGCCUGGCCCUGGACGGCGUCCGCGGUUACUUCAACAUAACACGCUUAACGAGUUCUUGGUAUUUGAUCUGAGUCUGGCCAUUUGGUCUAUACGCACUAACCAGCUACGCGGGAACAGUUAUGGGCACUCGACGUCGUGGUAUCAGCCGAAGCUCUUUUUGACGUCAGCGACGGAGCGGCGCGCGCCGGAUUGGACUGGAACGCCACUAGGCUAGGUCUGGUUCCGGUCGCCCUCGCAACGUGCAGGUGUGCAAUGGGCGAUGGCCCCAGACCCCUGCGCGCAUAGGAUUUAGACCGGCGUGUUGACCUCUCUGUUGAGCCUAGGUGGGGCUGCAACGUGUUGAUCUUCCGAGGCCGGGCAUGACCCAGAAAAGUGUUUCCGGCCAAAUGGGAUCGAGCGUGUUGGGUUAUGUGGUGCACCCCUGCAGGGAAGUUUAUCUAUUCGAAUAGCCGUGUCCCUCGGUAAAAGGACGACCCGGAGUUGUACCUUGACCUUAUGACAACUAGAACCGGAUACUUAAUAAAAUACACCCUUCCAAGUGCCAGAUACAACCCGGUGAUCGCUCUCUAACAGGGCGACGAGGAGGGGAUCGCCGGGUAGGAUUAUGCUAUGCGAUGCUACUUGGAGGACUUCAAUCUACCCUCUUCUACAUGCUGCAAGAUGGAGAUGGCCAGAAGCGUAGUCUUCGACAGGACUAGCUAUCCCCCUCUUAUUCUGGCAUUCUGUAGUUCAGUCCACUGAUAUGGCCCUUUACACAUAUACCCAUGCAUAUGUAGUGUAGUUCCUUGCUUGCGAGUACUUUGGAUGAGUAAUCACGGUUGCCUCUCUCCCUCUUCCCCCCCCUUUCCCUUCUACCUGGUUGUCGCAACCAGAUACUGGAGUCCAGGAGCCAGACGCCACCGUCGACGACGACUCCUACGACACUGGAGGUGCCUACUACUGCGUGCAGCCCGCUGACGACGACCAGGAGUAGUUAGGAGGAUCCCAGGCAGGAGGCCUGCGCCUCGUUCGAUCUGUAUCCCAGUUUGUGCUAGCCUUCUUAAGGCAAACUUGUUAACUUGUGUCUGUACUCAGAUAUUGUUGCUUCCGCUGACUCGUCUAUGAUCGAGCACUUGUAUUCGAGCCCUCGAGGCCCCUGGCUUGUAUUAUGAUGCUUGUAUGACUUAUUUAUGUUUUAGAGUUGUGUUGUGAUAUCUUCCCGUGAGUCCCUGAUCUUGAUCGUACACAUUUGCGUGCAUGAUUAGUGUACGGUCAAAUCGGGGGCGUCACAGGUGGCCUCGACGCCGUUCCCUAGGCUAUGGUGCUCGUCAGCUGCCGUUAUAAUCCAUGCAAAUUCGCGAGGGGCCGAAAAUUCACGGGACCUGGCGCAAGUGUAAUCAUACGACCCCUAGAAGGUGUGGUAAAACAUCGAGAGCGGCAUGCGUAGGCCCUCACAUAGGCUGUGGGCAACCGGGGCCAUAUCCCAUGCUGGAUCAAGCCACAGAGUGGGAAUGCGUCCAUCCUGUGAAGGGAGUGCGGGGCCCGUUCCUUCAUUUGCCUCAAAUCUUGUUGUCGCGUGAUGUUAGACCUAGUAACCAAGGACCGUCCCGUGCAUCGCACUCAGCUGGAACCACAACAUUCAUGCACACAUGGCCACGUAUGAGUCUACACGGCGGGGAUGCAUGGUUCAGGGGCUGGCACAAGUGUCACGGGUCAUGUGUCUAGGUGCUACUCCACUUGGGUCUAAACAGCGGGGGUGCAUGGUUUGGAUCUAGCUACCGAGAGGUAACGCGUCCGGUUUGUGCCUAGGCGGUGCAUCACGGGGCCUGGCGUGGUCUCAUCAUAUGAGCCAUGAAGGGUAUGGUCAAUCACCGAGAGGGGCAUGCAUAAACCCUCACGCGGGCUAAGUGUAAACGAGGCCAUAUCGCAUGUUGGAUCUAGCCAAUGGGAGGGAACAAGUCCGGCAUGCGGACGGUGUGCGGGGCUCGUUCCUUCACUUUACUCAAAAUUCGGUGCCGCUUGAUGUGGGCCCUAACCACAAAGGCCCGUCCCGUGCAUCACACUCACCUGGACCCACACCGUGCAAGCACACUUGGCCACGUAGACACACACCGAUAAACCUUGACAAUAGCUAGGGUUUAGUAAUUAUCCAUUCAUUUUACCUAAUCGGUACAACAUAGCUAGCGAUGAACAAAAAAGCUAGAUGCCAUGUGAAAUUAAAUGUGCCAACAGUCCCUUCUAGUAUUUUUUUUCCAGUAGUUCUCCCUUCUAGUAUUUAGUAGUACUACGCAAAACAAAAAAAAUGUCCCUCCUAUUUUGGUGUUCUUUUUUUAACACCCUAUUUUGGUGUUCGGUUUAUGUUGCUACGUUUGUGGACCGACAUUGUGCACUUUUUCUUUUGCUUGGUUGGUUGAUUGGUUGGUUCGGGCAAAUCUCUGGGUGUGCAUGAUGCCGUGUACGUGCAUGUUUCUACCUAAAUUUCAAAAGUGGCGAAUUGUGCGCGGCCUUGACCUCUCUCUCCCAAACAAAUUGAAUUCUUACUCCCCAAAUCUCGCUCCCGCCUCCACCAUUCGAUCGCCUCUGCCUAUCCACCCACGUCUUCGUCGCCGCCCACUACUCGCCGCCGCCAAAAAGCCCACAUUCUUGCCGACGAGGAUGAUCCUACCUGCCGGAGGAGGGGCGUGGCUAGUUCGCUCCGUGCGGCGGAUGUGGACCCCAUGAAGGAACUGGUCGACAAGGACGUCGUCGCCGCCGAUUCGCAGCUGCAGCUGGUCCAAACACAGCACCAACAACGAUGAAUCGGUUAGUGUCUGCAGAGAUUAACCCUAGAGUUUGCCUUCUCGAAGUUAACCCUAGAAAUUGCUCUCUUGUUAUUCCUCGCUAUUCGUACUGUUCGCUUUUUUUAUUAAUCGUACGGUUAUCAGUCCUAGGGUUUGCAAAUUUAGAUGAAUGGAUCAUUUGUAUUCCAUUUUAUGCCUGAUGACCAGAAAUUUGUAAUUGAUUGUACUAGCUCUAACUGAUGAUCUCCCAACUAAAUCCAAAGUCGACGAGUCCUUCAAAUGCCUUGAUAGAUCCACCCUGAUAGAUCAAUUAUCUCCAAACUCCAUUCAAAAUUAUCUCCUAACAAAAUCCAAAUUAUCUCCUAACAAAAUCCAAAAGUAUGUCCUAACUAAAUCCAAAUUAUCUCCUAACUAAAUCCAAAAUAAGUCCAAACUCCAUACAAAAUAAUUAUCUCCUAACUAAAUCCAAAAUAUCUCGAAACUCAAUUCAAAAGUAUCUCCAAACUAAAUCCAAAAUAACUUUCUUUGAAUCCAAAUCUGCUAACAAAUUUCUCAUGCCACAUAAUCCUAACUAAGUCCUUCAAUAUGUCCUAGUACAUCCGACUUACACUUCCUUUCAAUCGUAAUCUCGUCACAACUUUCUGAAAACAUAAACCCUAAUCCUCACAUGACAUAUCCUAAACCCUAACCAAAUCCGACCGAAAUCUUGUCACAACUUUCUGAAACGAUAAACUCUAAACCUCACAUGACAUAUCCUAAACCCGAAUCAAAUCAGACCCCUAUUGGUGCUAUAUGCAGAAGGGAGCAGAAAAGAUUUGAGAUGGCUAGGCACUUACAGCGAAGAUCCGGCGUGAAAAAGUUGAUGCACGUCGAUGAGGAUGAUGUGGCCUCUCGGGUCGGGAAGGUGGCGUCCGCUCGGGGAAGGAGUGGAUUGGCGGCUCGUCGGAAGAUCUGGCGCCGCGACCCGAGUGGGGUGACUUGCGAUGGAGUGGGAGGGGAGGAGUAGGAGCAGGAGGGGUAGACACGGCGGGUGCGAUCGGCGGCGAUCGAGGGCGCCGGGGGCGAUCGGCGGCGAUCGAGGGCGUCGGAGGCGAUCGAGGGGGCCCGAGGUUAGGGCUCGAGAUGAGGAGAGAGAACGAACCGCUCGAACCGAAAUUCAAAAGAGUACGCACGAUGAUGGGACCUCUAAAAUGAAGUGCUUUAUUAAUGCAAUUAAUUUAGGACGAGAAUACCCCUGGACCUAAUUGGGCCGAUUAAAGGUACAAAAAAAUUUAGGUCGAAAAUACCCUUGGGCUCAAAAAGGCCUAGUAAUUGUUAUCCGUUAGAUCACCCAUAUAAUACACCUGCUCUGGUGUAUUAUAAUGCACCGUAAAAUUUCUCUAAUAUAAGAGCGUUUUUGACACUAGUGUAUUGUCAAAAACGCUUUUAUAUUAUGGGACAGAGGAAGUAUGUUCUCUUUUUGUCCUUUCUUGUAUCAGAAAAAAUAUUUUCAUUUUUCGUUUAUGGCAUUUUAUUCUUAAAAACAUUACGCUGGUCGUGCAAUCGAAUCGUUCGUUUGGAGCUCCUCCAUGGUGGACGGUCGCGAGAUAUUCGCGUACACACACGUCGCCCAUUCGACGAUGGUCCCCGACGCUUGUGAAUCUGCCCGUUGGAUGGAGGCCUUCCAUAGAAAUUGCGUUCGCCUUGGCACUAAAGCCGGCCGGUGAAGGCGCGUGGUGACCGUUGUAGGGAGUAGUGGAGUAGUUUGCAAUAUAAAGCCCGGCCGACCGUAUUGUAUUCUCCGUGUCACGCCUGACGCGGCCUCAUCAUGGGAAUAAAAAGAUGGUUCCCAAGCCAACGGCUCCAUUAAGAAAUGAGAUUCGCUCCUGACCAGUUCGCUGCCUCUAAUCAUGCAUGCCAUCCCGGCCGGCUGGCGGGCACUGGCCAGCCGGCUCGUAAAAGUCUUCGCUGUCUGCGCACGCGUGUUCUGUUCCUAGAUAGAAAGAGCUCCAUGGAUAAAAAUUGGAAGAAAUGGCGCCGCUAGAAGGGGAAACACACGUGAAUCGCAUGACGGGGAAAUUUCCCUUCUUAACCGAGCUGCUCGUGUUUAUAGUUAGUUAAUGAUGCUGAAUAUGAGGAGGAUUUGAGAAGCAAGAGGGGCACGUUCUGGACGGAGGAGAUCAAAAGACACGUUGUCAUGAGUUCUGCAAUCCUUUGGCCAGUUCCGCAAUCCCAGCUGCUGCACAACGAGAUCGAAUUUCAAAGCUGUGCAAUCCCAUGGCCAGUUUGCAGAAUCCUCAUGAGUUUCAAUCAUGCAAGCAUAAACAAUACUUGCAGGAGUACUCCUAUUUUCCAAGGAAAAUGGGGGCAGGGGAGCAAUCUCCCUCCUAGAACCAUUCUAAUUUACACAACUCGAGUAGUUGACCCUCUCUCUGUUCGAGGCAAUAGCAAAGCAUACCCAAUGCAACUGAGGGACGGCACAAAUCGAAAUUUGCAAGGGAAACAAAGCAAGUACUAUGAAUCAUUACAGCAGCUAGGCUAAUUGGUAUUAUCAGACUGACUGAAUCACCAAAAGUAGGGAGACAAUCAGAGAGGCACUCGCUGGAUUCCCACCCAAAUCAACAAGCAAUCAUGGAUCGCACGACCGAAAUUUGCAAGUGGAAGAAAGAAUCGUCACAGCAGCUAGUGCCAGCCUAAUUAUCAGACAUUCAGACUAACAGAAGCAGCAAAAAUAAGCAGACAACCAUAAAUCAACAAAAUCAACAAGCAGCGCAUCACAGGUUCACGGCCAUAGGAAAUCAAUCAAUCAUCCAUCAGUUUAUACAAACACGGCUUGGAUUUCGAUUUACAUCAACAGACGCGACCUCUUGGAAUCGGGUACUAAAACAGCAGCAUGAAAGAAAUGUACUCUGCAUCUUCAGCGGAGCGAGCGGAGGACACGGAGCGGCAUCUCAAUCAACCAACCUGGACGGGGACGGGGGCGGAUCGGCGGGUGGCUC
rnacentral:lncRNA from 1 species